rnacentral:rRNA from 1 species
AGUGAACGCUGGCGGUAGGCCUAACGCAUGCAAGUCGAACGGCAGCACAGUGAGAGCUUGCGGUUACGGCUGGGGACUGGCGGACGGGUGCGGAGUACAUCGCAAUCUGCGGUUGCGAACGUGCUAAAGUAGGGGCACUUACGGUAUAAGCGCAGACGACGUACGGGGGAGAGCAUCGGAUCUUCCGACCUCACACGAGCCUAGGUCGGAUUAGCUAGUUGGCGGGGUAAAGGCCUACCAAGGCGACGAUCCGUAACUGGUCUGAGAGGAUGAUCAGUCACACUGGAACUGAGACACGGUCCAGACUCCUACGGGAGGCAGCAGUGGGGAAUAUUGGACAAUGGGCGCAAGCCUGAUCCAGCCAUACCGCGUGUGUGAAGAAGGCCUUCGGGUUGUAAAGCACUUUUGUUGGGGAAGAAGAGCAGCAGGUUAAUACCUUGCUGUUUUGACGUUACCCAAAGAAUAAGCACCGGCUAACUUCGUG